rnacentral:rRNA from 1 species
GACGAACGCUGGCGGCGUGCUUAACACAUGCAAGUCGAACGGAAAGGCCCUGCUUUUGUGGGGUGCUCGAGUGGCGAACGGGUGAGUAACACGUGAGUAACCUGCCCUUGACUUUGGGAUAACUUCAGGAAACUGGGGCUAUUACCGGAUGGACGCUCCUCCGCCUGGUGGGGGUUGGUAAAGUUUCGGCGGUUGGGGAUGGACUCGCGGUUUACCAGCUUGUUGGGGGGGUAGUGGCUUACCAAGGCUUUGACGGGUAGCCGGCCUGAGAGGGUGACCGGCCACAUUGGGACUGAGAUACGGCCCAGACUCAUACGGGAGGCAGCAGUGGGGAAUAUUGCACAAUGGGCGGAAGCCUGAUGCAGCAACGCCGCGUGCGGGAUGACGGCCUUCGGGUUGUAACCCGCUUUCGCCUGUGACGAAGCGUGAGUGACGGUAAUGGGUAAAGAAGCACCGGCUAACUACGUG